rnacentral:piRNA from 1 species
AGGACAGGUACACACAGAGAAGG